rnacentral:rRNA from 1 species
UACGAAGGGGGCUAGCGUUGCUCGGAAUGACUGGGCGUAAAGGGCGCGUAGGCGGCUUGUAUAGUCGGAUGUGAAAUUCCUGGGCUUAACCUGGGGGCUGCAUACGAGACGUAUGGGCUUGAGUGCGGAAGAGGGUCGUGGAAUUCCCAGUGUAGAGGUGAAAUUCGUAGAUAUCUGGAGGAACACCGGUGGCGAAGGCGGCAUCCUGGACCACGACUGACACUGAAAAGCGAAAGCCAGGGGAGCAAACGGG